rnacentral:lncRNA from 1 species
UUUGCUAUUGUAAUCCUUCUCUCCAACUGGUCCUUUAUAAUGACAUUGUCAAAACCAUGCUCUCUGAUUGGUCCCUUCAUAAUGACAUCAUUAUAACCCUGCUGUCUAUUGCCCCCUUCAUAAGGACAUUAUCCUGCUUCAUAAAGAUAUUGUCAUCACCCUGUUUUCUUGAUUGGUCCUUUCACAAUGACAUUGUCAUUUCGGUGAGAGAAAGUGUCUAGACCUGCAGUAUUCCAACAAUGUCUUCCCAGUCUGCAUAUCCCAUGAAACCAUGUUUAUGCGUCCGCAGGGACCUGGGCAGUAAAAGGCAGUGCACCGUGGGCCACAAGCUCAGGGUCAGAGAAAAUAGUCUGGGAUAGGGAUUAGUGUAAGCCAGAAGUCAUAACUCCUCGCCAGCUUCAACAAUAAAACAAGAACAUGUCAGAGUCCUCAGACGACAACAAUGAGUGUUACAUGAACAAAUGGAAGUUGUUCAUGGGCUUUGUGGCUGUAACAAGUUUGCUGUUGCGUAAGGUUGUUACAGUGUAUACAUUGUCAGAUUUGAGCACAGCUGCUAGAGAAGAGGCUCUCCAGACUCCCCUGUCUCCCCUCACAGACCAGAAGCAGAGACUGUCCAGCAUUAUCUUUUAUCUGUAGUAUUCUAAGACAGUGACUCCUCAGGAAUCCACGGUCUAUAUAAAACUCAUAGGUAUGUCUAUAGCUUGUCUAUACAGCAUGUGUUAGCGUGAUACUGGAUAGGGACACAUGUAGCACAGUAAACUGUAAAAAAUGAUUAGCAUCCUAGCUUAAAAAAGGUUCUCGGAUUGCAUGAAGGGGAAAUUUGUACUUUUUCAACUUCAAUAAAGUGAUAUUUUAACAUAAAGUACUUUAAUAAGCCAAUGUGCUGGGAGUGUAAUAAAAGCCAUUGCUUAAUAAUUUCCAAGGUAAAAAAUUCAAUUAUAUAGCAUUUUUAUUAUUUUGGGAAAAAGAAAAGUUUGGGAACUGUUGAAGUGGGAUUUGGAAGAGAGCUGUGUUUGAAAGAACAUCACUACCAUAUGUUAGGUUUUCUCCAUGUGAUAUGGUUCUGUAGGAAAGGACUCAAAUAGGCAGUUACCUGGUUCUCUUCCUUUAUCUGUAGGCCAGGCUUAGAGAGCGGCACCUCAUGGAUCUUAAGUCUUAAGUCCACAGACAAAUCCUUCCCUUGUACCCUCUCCUCCUCCUCCACUUCCCCCAUCUCAUAUGCGGUACUCUCCUCCCUCAACCCCUCCGACUUUUCGGAAUCUUCCACAUCCGUUUCCCAAGCGCUCCUAAAACACAAACAGAUGUGUUUAGCAAAAAUUUGCUUCUUGUUAGUCUGUUAUAAGGCUGACUGUUUCUCUGUUCUGGAGCUCUCAGCACUCUGACGUUGCCAAGAGUGAAAACGCUGAGACGGGAAACUUACCCUUGAGCUCAAGAUAAAAGUCG